AUUGAACGCUGGCGGCAGGCUUAACACAUGCAAGUCGAGCGAGCGGCGGGCGGGAGAGUAAUGCCUGGGCAUUGCCCUGGCGGGGGGGAAAACAGUUGGAAACGACUUCUUAUACCGCAUAAGUGUGGAUUGCCUAGGUGGGAUUAGCUAGUUGGUGGGGUAAUGGCUCACCAAGGCGACGAUCCCUAGCUGGUUUGAGAGGAUGACCAGCCACACUGGAACUGAGACACGGUCCAGACUCCUACGGGAGGCAGCAGUGGGGAAUAUUGCACAAUAGGGGAAACCCUGAUGCAGCCAUGCCGCGUGUGUGAAGAAGGCCUUCGGGUUGUAAAGCACUUUCAGCGAGGAGGCGUUACUCGCAGAAUAAGCACCGGCUAACUCCGUGCCAGCAGCCGCGGUAAUAC
rnacentral:rRNA from 1 species